rnacentral:rRNA from 1 species
UACAGAGGUGGCAAGCGUUGUUCGGAAUUACUGGGCGUAAAGGGCGCGUAGGCGGUCUUGUAAGUCCCGUGUGAAAUCCCUCGGCUCAACUGAGGAACCGCACGGGAAACUGCUUGGCUUGAGUUCGGGAGAGGGAAGCGGAAUUCCGGGUGUAGCGGUGAAAUGCGUAGAUAUCCGGAGGAACACCGGUGGCGAAGGCGGCUUCCUGGACCGACACUGACGCUGAGGCGCGAAAGCGUGGGGAGCAAACAGG